AAAAUAUAAACAAAUACACUUUUAAAAAAUAGGCGGAGUCAGUGACUGAAUCUUCGUGUUCUGGCCUCUGCCCAGCUAGCCAGUCCAACUCUCUCCUUCACUCAAAUCCAGCCACCCGGGCCUCCUGUCCUACACUCUCCUACCUCAGGGCCUUUGCCCGCGCUGUUCCCCCUGCCUGGGACGCUCAUCUCCCAGAGCCCAGCACGACCGUCGGGACCUCCUUGGGGGAGUGGAGGCAACACAGGGAGGAGCAGGUGGAGGCAGACCAAUUCCACACGACCGUGAGCUCCUGGAUCCAGCUAUGCCUGAAGCUAGACCUGCCCGUGGAAUUUCACUUACAUGAACAAGUGCUGCCAGUGUUGCUGGUCUAAGGACCACGCUUUGAAGACCACCGUCUUAGGGGAUUCACUCGGGGGACAUCCUCCUGCUGGAAACCCAGGUUGGAAAAACGCCACCGUAUCCCUCGGGAGUAUCGCCAGUGCCUUCCAGCACCGACAGUCGAAGGUUCUUCUGCAUAUCUGACCUGAAUCUCUGCUGCUGCGUUGCUCCUCGGCCAGGGUGGAGACAGUCCGAGGAUUCCAGGGACCCCACUGCCGAAGCCAAGCCUCUAAAAAAGCUCCACUGCACCACCUCCCUCGUAUCGCUGCUUGAUAAAGAAACCGAGGCUAGAGAGCAGAGGAAACGACUCAUCCAAGGUCACACAGGCAAGACCCAGACAUUUGAUGGUCCCUGAGAGGGAAAAUCCCACAGCCAAGCCACAGAGGACAGAAGCCACGCUAGCUCUGACACCCGCCAGCUCGGGCUCCCCUUCUCUCUGCGGAGCCCCUGGGGCCCCGCCCCUACCAGAUGCUUUCAGAUGCUUCUCUACCCGCUGCAAGGAAUCUGCUCACCUCUCCUGAGCCAGGAAAGCGUGCCCAGGGGAUCUCUGCCUGUGAUCUGGAACAAGUUCCCUCCUCCCUGAGCCUCUGUCUCCCUGUCUGUAAAGUGGGAGGGCUGGGCUAGAAUUCGGGGUCCCCCAAGCGCAGGCCCAUCUGAGCCAGGUGAGCGUAGCAGACACCGUGAUUCACCCGGGAGGAGAGUCAUUCUCGCCUUAGCCCCCUUUCUCUCCUGGCUCCCCAGCCGUCUGACACUUGUCCCCCCCGUUCAGCCGAGUUCAGAGCUGGCGCCAGGCACACGCUCCGAUCGCAUCAGGUGUUUUGUUGCCUUUCUUUUAAGGUAAACUUCCGUUUAGAGCAAACCGUCUUGUGUACGAUAUAGAGUGGUUUUCUUUAAGUGAAAGGGUGAUGGAUUUGAAGGACGCUUGGUUUAAGUAGGGCAGGUAGGAACCCAGCUUCUUGGAAGCCCACGUUUCUGGGUCCCGCCGUGGAAGUGAGACCGAGAGGGGGGGAGGGGCACACCUAGGUGUGCCCCUGCAGAUGGCCUGAUGGAGUCAGAUGAGCAGACAGCACCGGUUUCUGGUGGAAAAGAAGAGGAAGCAGCAUCUUGGGGAGCCCUACCUGUCCCCCCAGAAUUCAUGGUCCCAGGGCUGCAGGGCAAGUGGAAACUUCCUGGUGGUUCAAGACGAGGCAUGGGGGUCGGGACCCAGGAUCCAAGAGGGCCCCUUGCCUCAGUUUAUCACACAGUCUACAGUCCCCUGUGACCUUCCUGCCCAGGGCAGCCCUGGGAGGUGUCCACGACCUGCCCCAGCUCAGGCCGGGAGGCACAAAAGGACAAGUCGCGUGAGUGGACAGAUCGGCUAUCUCAUCAGGCUUCACGACGCACCUGUGACCAUCUCACAGCCGAAAACCCUGCGCGAGGCCACAAACGGCCAAACGGCCAAGUGCGAGGGAGCCCAAAGGGCUCAGCCACACGGAGGAAAUUUCCAUGGCAGGAAUCAGGAAUAUGGUUUUGAGGAAUAAUGACACGGGAAGAUAGAAGAUGUUGAAAGUAAGAUGUUGAGGACAACAGACCAAGAUGUGAACUAUACACGACACGCUCUCCGCUUUAUUUCUCCAUCAGUGCCUUACCAGUGUUCUACCGUGGGCACGCAUUCCCUCACAACCAGAA